CCUGGUAGUGGGGGAUAACGUUCGGAAACGGACGCUAAUACCGCAUACGUCCUACGGGAGAAAGCAGGGGACCUUCGGGCCUUGCGCUAUCAGAUGAGCCUAGGUCGGAUUAGCUAGUUGGUGGGGUAAUGGCUCACCAAGGCGACGAUCCGUAACUGGUCUGAGAGGAUGAUCAGUCACACUGGAACUGAGACACGGUCCAGACUCCUACGGGAGGCAGCAGUGGGGAAUAUUGGACAAUGGGCGAAAGCCUGAUCCAGCCAUGCCGCGUGUGUGAAGAAGGUCUUCGGAUUGUAAAGCACUUUAAGUUGGGAGGAAGGGCAGUUACCUAAUACGUGAUUGUUUUGACGUUACCGACAGAAUAAGCACCGGCUAACUCUGUGCCAGCAGCCGCGGUAAUACAGAGGGUGCAAGCGUUAAUCGGAAUUACUGGGCGUAAAGCGCGCGUAGGUGGUUUGUUAAGUUGGAUGUGAAAUCCCCGGGCUCAACCUGGGAACUGCA
rnacentral:rRNA from 1 species